rnacentral:rRNA from 1 species
AGCAAGCGCACGAAGGCGUACACAGCUGCCGAGGACAAGCUUCUUUGCGAGUGUUGGCGAGACAUUGGACAAGACCCAAAGACGGGCGCCGAGCAAAAGCAUUCGACCUUUUGGACUCGUGUGCACCGCGAGUUUCAUGAGCGCAAGAAGUUUCCACCUUACCAAUUUGUGAGCACGCGCGGGUGGGUCUUCAUUUCCAAGCGGUGGAGGGUGAUCCAACAAGAGUGCAACAAGUUUUGCGCCACCCUUGAGAGCGUCAAGGCCCGCCCCGUGAGCGGCAUCGGCGUGCAAGACAUGGUAUGA